GAUGAACGCUGGCUACAGGCUUAACACAUGCAAGUCGAGGGGAAACGACGGGGAAGCUUGCUUCCCCGGGCGUCGACCGGCGCACGGGUGAGUAACGCGUAUCCAACCUGCCUCUGACUGAGGGAUAACCCGUCGAAAGUCGGCCUAAUACCUCAUGGUAUCGUCUGCGGGCAUCCAACGACGAUUAAAGAUUUCUUCGGUCAGGGAUGGGGAUGCGUCUGAUUAGCUUGUUGGCGGGGUAACGGCCCACCAAGGCUACGAUCAGUAGGGGUUCGGAGGGGAAGUCCCACCAGAAUGGAACUGCGACACGGUCCAAACUGAUACGGGAGGGAGGAGUGAGGAAGACUGGUGGAGGGGGGAGGGCCUGAACCAGCCAAGUGGCGUGCAGGAAGCCUGCCCUAUGGGUUGUAAACUGCUUGUAUGCGGGGAUAAAGUGAGGGACGUGUCCCUCAUUGCAGGUACCGCAUGAAUAAGGACCGGCUAAUUCCGUG
rnacentral:rRNA from 1 species